ACUGAGCUCAGGAGGAGGGUCAUCCCCACGCCCCAGCCAGGCGAGAGGGUGGUGUUCGUCCCCCACUUUAUCCGGGGACUGGGCUUCCCGCUCCAUCCCUUCGUCCGGGGGUUGAUGUUCUUCUACGGGCUAGAUUUUCACGGUCUGGCCCCGAACUCCAUUCUUCACAUCUCGACCUUCAUCGUCGUUUGCGAGGCCUUUCUUCGGGUCCAACCGCACCUCGGCCUAUGGCUAAAAGUCUUCAAUGUCAAGCCGAAGAUUAUCGACAGCCAGCAGGCGGACUGCGGAGGGGGGGGCAAUGAUUAG
rnacentral:rRNA from 1 species